CUCAGGGUUAAACUGUCAACCCUGAUUAGAUCAUCCGAGUCGUGCUCAACUCAAUCAGUCCUGUGACUCCUCACUAGGACUACCCUGGCCAAGGUUUUGCUAAAUUGAAACACAACUGUACACAGCUCCUGAACUGGAGUGGUCAAUCCCAUCUUGACACACGCACCGACAAGUCAAGUACUUGACUACACCCAGCAGCC
rnacentral:lncRNA from 1 species